CUUUGUAACGACAGUUAAGAAGAAACACAGAUUAGGAAAAUACAGCGUUGGAACUUCCUGGAUUCGGUUGGGCAUCAAGCAUACCUUUGAAUUGUACAGGGCAGAGAUUAGCAAUAAGUAAGACAAUAGAUAUCCCAGUGGAGCCGGGCAGGAGAAGUCAUUUACCUUUGGAGAUACAGCUCCUGUAGCUGCCGGAUGUCUAGGGGUUCCGAAGGGGUCGGAUGAGAUGGAGAAGAAAAAUGCACGGAUUCUUACCAACACCAAUUUAAUGUAAUUUAAAUUAAAGUUUUGAAAUAUAAAUUGUGGCGCGAGACGCCUUUGAUUCACUUUAUAAAUUUACUAUAAAAUCUAAGCCCGAUGGGACUAACGCGGCUUGAUAAAAUUUAAUUUCCCAAAAAAGAGUUUGGGACUCGUGGUUGCCAUGAAGUAUACUGACGGAAGGAAGUAACAAAGAUAGAAAAAUGAUGGCGGUUAAAAAUUGCAAA